rnacentral:rRNA from 11 species
UGAAAAGGACUUUGAAAAGAGAGUCAAAGAGUGCUUGAAAUUGUCGGGAGGGAAGCGGAUGGGGGCCGGCGAUGCGUCCUGGUCGGAUGCGGAACGGAGCAAUCCGGUCCGCCGAUCGAUUCGGGGCGUGGACCGACGCGGAUUACGGUGGCGGCCUAAGCCCGGGCUUUUGAUACGCUUGUGGAGACGUCGCUGCCGUGAUCGUGGUCUGCAGCACGCGCCUAACGGCGUGCCUCGGCAUCAGCGUGCUCCGGGCGUCGGCCUGUGGGCUCCCCAUUCGACCCGUCUUGCAACACGGACCAAGGAGUCUAGC